rnacentral:rRNA from 1 species
AUGCAGUCGAGCGAAUGAUGAGGAGCUUGCUCCUCUGAUUUAGCGGCGGACGGGUGAGUAACACGUGGGUAAUCUGCCUGUAAGACGGGGAUAACUCCGGGAAACCGGGGCUAAUACCGGAUAACAAGAGAGGAAGCAUUUCUUCUUUUUGAAAGUCGGUUUCGGCUGACACUUACAGAUGAGCCCGCGGCGCAUUAGCUAGUUGGUGAGGUAACGGCUCACCAAGGCGACGAUGCGUAGCCGACCUGAGAGGGUGAUCGGCCACACUGGGACUGAGACACGGCCCAGACUCCUACGGGAGGCAGCAGUAGGGAAUCUUCGGCAAUGGGCGAAAGCCUGACCGAGCAACGCCGCGUGAGCGAUGAAGGCCUUCGGGUCGUAAAGCUCUGUUGUUAGAGAAGAACAAGUACGAGAGUAACUGCUCGUACCUUGACGGUACCUAACCAGAAAGCCACGGCUAACUACGUGCCAGCAGCCGCGGUAAUACGUAGGUGGCAAGCGUUAUCCGGAAUUAUUGGGCGUAAAGCGCGCGCAGGCGGUCUCUUAAGUCUGAUGUGAAAGCCCACGGCUCAACCGUGGAGGGUCAUUGGAAACUGGGAGACUUGAGUGCAGGAGAGAAAAGUGGAAUUCCACGUGUAGCGGUGAAAUGCGUAGAGAUGUGGAGGAACACCAGUGGCGAAGGCGGCUUUUUGGCCUGUAACUGACGCUGAGGCGCGAAAGCGUGGGGAGCAAACAGGAUUAGAUACCCUGGUAGUCCACGCCGUAAACGAUGAGUGCUAGGUGUUGGGGGGUUCCACCCUCAGUGCUGAAGUUAACACAUUAAGCACUCCGCCUGGGGAGUACGACCGCAAGGUUGAAACUCAAAGGAAUUGACGGGGGCCCGCACAAGCAGUGGAGCAUGUGGUUUAAUUCGAAGCAACGCGAAGAACCUUACCAGGUCUUGACAUCCUCUGAUCACUCUAGAGAUAGAGCUUUCCCCUUCGGGGGACAGAGUGACAGGUGGUGCAUGGUU